rnacentral:lncRNA from 13 species
AUCUGGGUUAACAAAGUAUAGGGAGUAGCUACCAGAUGGAUUGGGACUAUGACCUCAUUAAUGAAUUGGAGGCCCUGAAUUAGUUUCCAUUCCCCAUUAAGUUUUGCACUCCUAAUAUUGAGGUGCUAUGGGGGCUCUUACAGGGUUUGUGGAGGUCCCACAUCUUCAGGUUAUUAAUAAUAGCUUCUAAACUUUUGCUAGCCUCUGGCUUUAGAGGGUUUCGUUUCUGGUUAGGAAAAGAAGUGGGAUUCUUGAAAUGGAUCUGGACAGGCCUAGCAGUUAGUUUGACCUAUUCUUUCUUGCAUUUCCCACACUUCUGGAUUGAUAUUAGCUUCCACUAGGGUGAGACAAAAAGAUUGUCUUGGGGCAACAAGGAUACUGGCACCCAUGUCUCUACCUAAUAAAGAAGUAGGGCUUGCUUUCAUGAUUAAAAAGGCAUGUGUAAAUAAUAGGUUUCCUCAUCUGCAACUAAGGAAUUGUGAAAAAUAUCAAAUUAGUCUUUCCUGAGACUCCCGUCAGAUGUGCUGUGGGAAAAGGGGAGGCCUGGAUUAGAGAGGGGAAGAUAGAGGCUGGCUUGCGUGUCCAGAAGGAGAUCUACCUUCUUUCCUUCACUUUCCAGAAUCACGUGGGGCUCCUGUGCUGUAAUGAUGGUUUUAGCCACUGGAGCUGGGAGUUUGAACCCUGGGACCCAUCAGUCCUGUUGGACCAUCUGUAAGACUGGUUCUGAACCUGGUAACUUUCAUCUGCAAGGUCCACAAGGGGGCGCUGUUUCAAAGGCAAGAACUUCCAAGGCCAUACCUCCACCUACUCUUUAUCCGGGAGCUUAGAGGUCUUUGCUUAACUUUCCCGGGAAGAUAGACUGACCAGGUAAGUUUCCUGUGUCUAAAAAACCUGCGAGAAGCUAUGGGAGGACUCUGGGCCAAACAACAAAGCAAAGGUCAGAGUCAAAUUCCCACUCUAGUGGGAAUUUAAAGGAACUCCUUUCAUAGGACAGAAAACUUGAAUAGGGCAGGAAUAUCUCCGAGGUUAAAAGUGCCCUUCUUCCACAUCUGGGAGAACUCCAUUUCUGGAUUCCCUUCCAGAUAUCAUGGGAGUUGCUUUUCUUUCUC